UGGGGCGUAGCCAAGUCUGGUAAGGCACCGGUUUUUGGUACCGGCAUUCCCAGGUUCGAAUCCUGGCGCCCCAA
rnacentral:tRNA from 1 species